CCUGCCCUUANCUCUGGGAUAAGCCUGGGAAACUGGGUCUAAUACCGGAUAUGACUCCUCAUCGCAUGGUGGGGGGUGGAAAGCUUUAUUGUGGUUUUGGAUGGACUCGCGGCCUAUCAGCUUGUUGGUGAGGUAAUGGCUUACCAAGGCGACGACGGGUAGCCGGCCUGAGAGGGUGACCGGCCACACUGGGACUGAGACACGGCCCAGACUCCUACGGGAGGCAGCAGUGGGGAAUAUUGCACAAUGGGCGCAAGCCUGAUGCAGCGACGCCGCGUGAGGGAUGACGGCCUUCGGGUUGUAAACCUCUUUCAGUAGGGAAGAAGCGAAAGUGACGGUACCUGCAGAAGAAGCGCCGGC
rnacentral:rRNA from 1 species